UGUAGCUCAGUGCUAGAGCAUUUGCCUAGCAAGCAUGAGGCCCUGGGUUAAAUCCCCAGCA
rnacentral:tRNA from 1 species